rfam:Corynebacterium vitaeruminis DSM 20294, complete genome.
GGCUUUCUUCGCGGCGGAGCUCGACCGCCCCUAUCGGUAAUCGUCGAUUUCAUCACCCAGUACAAGAACACUUUCGGGGUCGAGCCUAUCUGCCGCGUGCUCAAAGACGCCGGCAUCAAGAUCGCCCCA